rnacentral:rRNA from 1 species
AUUGAACGCUGGCGGAAUGCUUUACACAUGCAAGUCGAACGGCAGCACGGACUUCGGUCAGGUGGCGAGUGGCGAACGGGUGAGUAAUAUAUCGGAACGUAUCCAAUAAUGGGGGAUAACUAAUCGAAAGGUUGGCUAAUACCGCAUACGUCCUACGGGAGAAAGCUAGGGACCUUCGGGCCUGGCGUUAAUGGAGCGGCCGAUAUCGGAUUAGCUAGUUGGUGAGGUAAAGGCUCACCAAGGCGACGAUCCGUAGCUGGUCUGAGAGGACGACCAGCCACACUGGAACUGAGACACGGUCCAGACUCCUACGGGAGGCAGCAGUGGGGAAUUUUGGACAAUGGGCGAAAGCCUGAUCCAGCCAUUCCGCGUGAGUGAAGAAGGCCUUCGGGUUGUAAAGCUCUUUCGCAAGAGAAGAAAACCUACCCUCUAACAUAGGGUGAGGUUGACGGUAUCUUGAUAAGAAGCACCGGCUAACUACGUGCCAGCAGCCGCGGUAA